UGAGUGUCUCAUCCUUUGAGCUGUGUGUG
rnacentral:piRNA from 1 species